GCUCCGGUGGCCUAGUGGUUUGAUCUUCCGGCUCGGAUAUAGGAGGGCGCGGGUUUGAACCCCGGCCGAAUCA